rnacentral:rRNA from 1 species
CCUACGGGUGGCUGCAGUGGGGAAUAUUGGACAAUGGGGGGAACCCUGAUCCAGCCAUGCCGCGUGUGUGAAGAAGGCCCUCGGGUUGUAAAGCACUUUCAGUGAGGAAGAACGCCUGGUGGUUAAUACCCAUCAGGAAAGACAUCACUCACAGAAGAAGCACCGGCUAACUCCGUGCCAGCAGCCGCGGUAAUACGGAGGGUGCGAGCGUUAAUCGGAAUUACUGGGCGUAAAGCGCGCGUAGGUGGCUUGAUAAGCCGGUUGUGAAAGCCCCGGGCUCAACCUGGGAACGGCAUCCGGAACUGUCAAGCUAGAGUGCAGGAGAGGAAGGUAGAAUUCCCGGUGUAGCGGUGAAAUGCGUAGAGAUCGGGAGGAAUACCAGUGGCGAAGGCGGCCUUCUGGACUGACACUGACACUGAGGUGCGAAAGCGUGGGCAGCAAACAGGAUUAGAUACCCCAGUAGUC